UGCGGGAUCGUCUAAUGGUAGGACACCUCCCUUUGAAGGAGGGUAUCUUGAUCUUGCUUCGAAUCCAGGUCCCGCAG
rnacentral:tRNA from 1 species